rnacentral:rRNA from 1 species
GACGUAGGUGGCAAGCGUUAUCCGGAAUUACUGGGCGUAAAGGGUGUGCAGGCGGGGUUUCAAGUGGGGGAUGAAAUAUCCCAGCUUAACUGGGAGGGGUUAUGCCAGACUGCAACUCUAGAGGACGAGAGAGGGGGGUGGAAUUCCGGGUGUAGUGGUGAAAUGCGUAGAGAUCCGGAGGAACCCCAGAGGCGAAGGCGGCCCCCUGGCUCGUACCUGACGCUCAGCCACGAAAGCAUGGGGAGCGAACGGG